rnacentral:rRNA from 1 species
CUGGCGGCAUGCUUUACACAUGCAAGUCGAACGGCAGCACGGGGUGGUAACACCCUGGUGGCGAGUGGCGAACGGGUGAGUAAUAUAUCGGAACAUGUCCGGAAGUGGGGGAUAGCUCGGCGAAAGCCGGAUUAAUACCGCAUAUGCCCUGAGGGGGAAAGGAGGGGAUCCGCAAGGACCUUUCGCUUUCGGAGUGGCCGAUAUCGGAUUAGCUAGUUGGUGAGGUAAAGGCUCACCAAGGCGACGAUCCGUAGCGGGUCUGAGAGGACGACCCGCCACACUGGAACUGAGACACGGUCCAGACUCCUACGGGAGGCAGCAGUGGGGAAUUUUGGACAAUGGGGGAAACCCCGAUCCAGCCAUGCCGCGUGAGUGAAGAAGGCCUUCGGGUUGUAAAGCUCUUUCAGACGGAAAGAAACGGUCACGGCCAAUACCCGUGACUAAUGACGGUACCGUCAGAAGAAGCACCGGCUAACUACGUGCCAGCAGCCGCGGUAAUACGUAGGGUGCGAGCGUUAAUCGGAAUUACUGGGCGUAAAGCGUGCGCAGGCGGUUUUGUAAGACAGACGUGAAAUCCCCGGGCUUAACCUGGGAACUGCGUUUGUGACUGCAAGGCUAGAGUACGGCAGAGGGGGGUAGAAUUCCACGUGUAGCAGUGAAAUGCGUAGAUAUGUGGAGGAAUACCGAUGGCGAAGGCAGCCCCCUGGGUCGAUACUGACGCUCAUGCACGAAAGCGUGGGGAGCAAACAGGAUUAGAUACCCUGGUAGUCC